AUUUUUCAUGUUAGUUUGAAUUUUGGGUGUACAUUCACUUGCAAACAUCCACGAGAUAAAACUCGUCCAUUAGGGAUAAUCUAGGGGUUUAAAGGCUUGUUGCACAUGCUAAGUGCAACCGUGAUUCCUACGAAAGUGAGUUAGGAUUUUUGCAUUCUAGAUUAGUUUUUUGUUUACUUAAGGACAAGUAACGUUCAAGUG